AACGAACGCUGGCGGCAUGCCUAACACAUGCAAGUCGAACGAGACCUUCGGGUCUAGUGGCGCACGGGUGCGUAACGCGUGGGAACCUGCCCUUAGGUUCGGAAUAACUCCCCGAAAGGGGUGCUAAUACCGGAUAAUGUCUUCGGACCAAAGAUUUCUCGCCUUUGGAUGGGCCCGCGUUGGAUUAGCUAGUUGGUAGGGUAAAAGCCUACCAAGGCGACGAUCCAUAGCUGGUCUGAGAGGAUGAUCAGCCACACUGGGACUGAGACACGGCCCAGACUCCUACGGGAAGCAGCAGUGGGGAAUAUUGGACAAUGGGCGAAAGCCUGAUCCAGCAAUGCCGCGUGAGUGAUGAAGGCCUUAGGGUUGUAAAGCUCUUUUACCCGGGAUGAUAAUGACAGUACCGGGAGAAUAAGCUCCGGCUAACUCCGUG
rnacentral:rRNA from 1 species